UACGAAGGUGGCGAGCGUUGUUCGGAAUCACUGGGCUUAAAGAGCACGUAGGCGGCCCAUCAAGUACUUUGUGAAAUCCCCCGGCUCAACCGGGGAAUUGCUUGGUAUACUGUUCGGGCUUGAGGCAGGUAGGGGCAUGUGGAACUCUUGGUGGAGCGGUGGAAUGCGUAGAUAUCAAGAGGAACGCCGGUGGCGAAAGCGAUAUGCUGGGCCUGUCCUGACGCUGAGGUGCGAAAGCCAGGGGA
rnacentral:rRNA from 1 species